UACCUAUUAACACCCUUAAUUGCCCUUUUGCUUUUUUUAAAUUACACUAACAAUUGCCCAUUUUGGUAAUUUGCUAAAUCAAUCUUCUUAUAAACCAAUCAUAUAUACCCAUUAGUCCAAGUGGCACCCCCAUUUUCAAAUUUUCAUAACUUUAUCAAACACCAUUUUAAUAUCAUUUCCUUUAACCAUUGUGUAAUACGAAUUAUGAAGAACUUAUCUUUACCCGGGAUACAAAGCUGGGUCACUUUUGUUUUUAAUAUUUCUCUCUCUUUUCCCUUUCACAUUCAUUCUUUCUCAACCAUUCUCUCUCAUUACAGGGUCUGCAAGCGCCGAAAGUCUUCCUCACCGUCAUAUCUCCGUUUUCUCGCCAAAGCCACCGCUAUACCAACCAUGCCCUUUUUCUCUUCUUCGUCUUCUUCUUCAUUUUCUUCACCAUCACUGCCGAACUGUUCCGUUUUCUCUCAUUAAGGUUCUAUCAAAGUAAUGAACUCCCAUCAUCGUUGCACCCAGAAAUCAUCAUCCUUUCACCUCUGAACUUGCUUCCAAACAUGUCAAGGCCUCAUAUAACAAUUUGCGACUUGCUGCCAGAACAAAACGUAUGGAAAAUUGUGGUUCAUGUAGUCGACAUUUGGACCGUCAAGGAACGUGAUGGUUUCAUUCCCAAGUGGAAGAUUGACGACGUCCUUCCGAUUCAAGGAUCCCUUUUGAAUAUUGUUAUGAUAUGAGUCCUGAUGCAAAUACUAGCCUGUUACCUAGCAUGAGUUUAACUAUGUGAGGUGGGAGCCGCUUUGCUGUUUAUGAUCCAAUAAUUAUCAUCUCUAUGCAGAUAACUUCAGGACUGGUUACCGUGUUGUUUUCGACCGGGAAAACUCACAUUGGAAUGAAAGAAAUCUGAUUGCUAUGACAUUAAGGAUCAUAACAAUGUUGUCCCAGCAAGACCACAGUCAGACACUGUGCCUCCCGCAGUCGCGGCUCGGCUUGGCCAUUACCAUGCCCCUGAUUCAAGUAAAAAUUCCAAAUACGAAUCUCAACAGUGAAAUGCAUCAUCGUCGCUGCUGCUUUAAAGCCACACUUUGCUUUUGACUUGCUUUGGCUUUCUAAUUUCUUGUAUUUGGUUUAAUUUAUAUGUUGUAUUAUCAUUCUUUUGCAUGAGCCGUUGAUAGUAUAUGAUAAAUUCAGCUCAUAUAAUGAUCUGCAUGUUGAUAUUAUAGCACCAUUCAUUUCCGUGCUUUAUAACUUACUCUAUAGUUUAGUUGUAUAGUUUGUGAAUAUGAUAGUCUGUUUAUUACCCGUUUUUGCAUGGAGCUCAGUGUUGUGUCUAGCAUGUUGCUUGACCCAAUUUGACCAAUCAACAAGGAUAAGGUCUGAAUUUGUCAUAUCCUUGGCUGGCGAAGAGUUUUCUCAAGCCAACAAUAAAUAUGGUGGUAAACCAAGGCAUGUUUUGGUUGAUAGAAACAUUGAUUUACCCUUCUACUGACUUUCAUCCUGCAGCUUAUAUUCUUCCUAACUUGAUUUUUAUACAUAUGGCAGGCCUAAUUUCUUCUUUAAUUGAGGAGCAGAUGAAUAUUCAAACACAUCUUAGAUUCCUAGAAAUGACA